UGAAUGAAAUUUGAAUCAUUUUGGAUAAAAGCAUGAAUAUACUGUAAAUGCAACAUUUGUUAUUUUCUUUAAAAACAUGCUGUUUUCUCUGAAACCAAGAGCACGAGAUGAAGUCCGCAUUCAUGUCGUUGUUUCUUCACCUGUGUUUUGUAAAAGCCCAAAAGAAGAAAAAAGAAAUGUUGUUCUCUGUCCUGAUGGGCCGGAGGCUCAGGACGCCAGCUGCGCCGUCAUGUGAGUCUGGUCUCCACUUCAGACGCUCUUCUAACCGUUCGCUCGCUCUCAUCACAUCAGAUACACGCUCAGAGCCCAAACUGGAUUUCUUUCUUUUUUUACAUGAAUUCUUUGCUGUUCUUUGUUCAAAUAAAGUUUAAAACUGUUAGGUUAUAAAUUAAAAUAAAUGCUUUUUGAAAAUCA